UAAUGAAUCUUCCGCAAUGCACGCAAGUGUGACGGAGCGACGCCGAGUGAAGGAUGAAGUUCUUCGGAAUGUAAACUUCUAAAAUCUGUUAGAAAGUUCUGAUCAGCAGACUAUAAGUGGCGACUAACUCUGUGCCAGCAGUCGCGGUAAUACAGAGGCCACGAGCGUUAGGCGGAAUCACUGGGCUUAAAGCGUGUGUAGGUGGAUGGGUAAGUACCUUGUGAAAUCCCACAGCUCAACUGUGGAACUGCUUGGUAUACUGCCUGUCUUGAGGCACUCAGGGGCGAGCGGAACAGAUGGUGGAGCGGUGAAAUGCGUAGAUAUCAUCUGGAACGCCAAUGGUGAAGACAGCUCGCUGGGGGUGAACUGACACUGAGACACGAAAGCCAGGGGAGCGAAC
rnacentral:rRNA from 1 species